CCCUUCUGCAUUAACAGAAGUCUGCUAUAAUUGUGUGAUUCAGAUUGAUCUGUUUCACGUAAUAAUGCUAGCCGAGUAUUUAUGUGGAAGGAGAUGACUGUGCAUUGCACUGAAAAUGAGCCGUGGUCGAACCGCUUUCUUAAUGUUCAUUGGCCUCUGUCUCAAGGUGCUGUGCCACAUGC